rnacentral:rRNA from 1 species
ACGCUCGACACCUACGGGAGGCAGCAGUGGGGAAUAUUGCACAAUGGGGGAAACCCUGAUGCAGCGACGCCGCGUGAGCGAAGAAGUAUUUCGGUAUGUAAAGCUCUAUCAGCAGGGAAGAAAAUGACGGUACCUGACUAAGGAGCCCCGGCUAACUACGUGUCAGCAGCCGCGGUAAUCUGAGCGGGCUGGCAAGGC